rnacentral:lncRNA from 1 species
GAACUGCCUUCUCAGAAGGACAGGGGAGAGGAAAAGCCUCAGAAAGGAGUGAUGCAGGGGAGAAGACCCAGCUGGGAUCACAGGACGUGUUCCUGGGAUCCUGGAAUCCAGCUGAAACCUGUUGCAUGUUUAGCCCACCGGGGCAUGGAGGGCCCAUAAGAAAGUGGAACGGGUGUGAGCCAUCUUAGUCCGCCCCGCUAAGCAGAGGGGAAGAAAAGGCAUGAGUUCUGGAGGCUGGAAAGUCCAGGAUCAAGGCGUCAGCAGGUUCAGUGUUGGACUUUCAAGCUCUGGGAGAAACAGAAAGCUGCCGCCUUACUCAGUGCCGCGAUGGGGAGCCGUGCCCUGUGCCCGGACACAGGAGGCACCCAAUGAGCCUUCGUUGGACUGCAGCCAGAAGCAGCCUGUGGCAAAUGUGACAUUUUUUGAUAUCUUUGGUUUUGUCUUAAAACUCAGAAGAAUUUUCCCUUCUAUUACAUACUGCAUCUGUUAUUUUCAAUAUAAAAAUAAUUUUGUGUUCUAAUGAUGGAGUAAUUUAGCACAACAGGAGAUAGCCAUGGUUUUUCCAUUCCUUUGUGAAUUGCUAGAGAUGAAAACUCCCCAUCUUUAACUUAAAAGAUUAAUGAUGAUUUAGCUUCCCAAUGAAGUUAUAUUAUGGAUGAGGAUCUUUUUCCAAAAUGAUCACUGUGGGGAUCAGCAUAUCCUAGUUUGAGAUGAGUGAAGGAAAACUGUCAUUCACACUUUGCUGUAGGCUCCUGCAUGCCACCCACAUGAAGCAGGACACGGGGGCAUGCCACGGCUGAGAGGAAAGGUUCAGAAUGUCUGGGUGGGCUUCAGAUGCGCAGAGGAAACAGCCCAGCACAAACCUGGCACAGACUGUGUGUGUGGCAGUAGGGCAAGAGUAUUUGAUAAAUAAAAAAUAAGCUUCCCAAAGAUGAACUUCCCGAAGUUUGGGUGAUAGACCCAGAGAAGCUGAAAAAGAGCAGUCACCCAGAGGCCAGAUGGAGAGAGCCCAAUGUGGCGUGUGCAGGCCUCACUCACUCAUGCCAAGAGCCUG